rnacentral:rRNA from 1 species
GAACAAGGGGGAAAAGGCAGCUUGCCUGGCUUUGCUGACGAGUGGCGGACGGGUGAGUAAUGUCUGGGAAACUGCCUGAUGGAGGGGGAUAACUACUGGAAACGGUGGCUAAUACCGCAAACGUCGCAGACCAAAGAGGGGGACCUUCGGGCCUCUUGCCAUCAGAUGUGCCCAGAUGGGAUUAGCUUGUUGGUGAGGUAACGGCUCACCAAGGCGACGAUCCCUAGCUGGUCUGAGAGGAUGACCAGCCACACUGGAACUGAGACACGGUCCAGACUCCUACGGGAGGCAGCAGUGGGGAAUAUUGCACAAUGGGCGCAAGCCUGAUGCAGCCAUGCCGCGUGUAUGAAGAAGGCCUUCGGGUUGUAAAGUACUUUCAGCGGGGAGGAAGGUGUUGUGGUUAAUAACCACAGCAAUUGACGUUACCCGCAGAAGAAGCACCGGCUAACUCCGUGCCAGCAGCCGCGGUAAUACGGAGGGUGCAAGCGUUAAUCGGAAUUACUGGGCGUAAAGCGCACGCAGGCGGUCUGUCAAGUCGGAUGUGAAAUCCCCGGGCUCAACCUGGGAACUGCAUUCGAAACUGGGCAGGCUUGAGUCUUGUAGAGGGGGGUAGAAUUCCAGGUGUAGCGGUGAAAUGCGUAGAGAUCUGGAGGAAUACCGGGUGGCGAAGGCGGCCCCCUGGACAAAGACUGACGCUCAGGGUGCGAAAGCGUGGGGGAGCAAAACAGGAUUAGAUACCCUGGUAGUUCCACGCCGUAAACGAUGUCUACUUUGGAGGUUGUGCCCUUUGAGGCGUGGCUUCCGGAGCUAACGCGUUAAGUAGACCGCCUGGGGAGUUACGGCCGCAAGGUUAAAACUCAAAAUGAAUUGACGGGGGCCCCGCACAAACCGGUGGGAGCAAGGUGGGUUUAAUUCGAUGCAACGCCGAAGAACCCUACCUGGGUCUUGA